rnacentral:rRNA from 1 species
GAUGAACGCUGGCGGCGUGCCUAAUACAUGCAAGUCGAACGCACAGCGAAAGGUGCUUGCACCUUUCAAGUGAGUGGCGAACGGGCGAGUAACACGUGGACAACCUGCCUCAAGGGCUGGGGAUAACAUUUGGAAACAGAUGCUAAUACCGAAUAAAACUCAGUGUCGCAUGACAACAAAGUUAAAAGGCGCUUUGGCGUCACCUAGAGAUGGAUCCGCGG